rnacentral:rRNA from 1 species
UACGUAGGGUGCAAGCGUUGUCCGGAAUUAUUGGGCGUAAAGAGCUCGUAGGCGGUCUGUCGCGUCUGCUGUGAAAACUCGGGGCUUAACCCCGGGCCUGCAGUGGGUACGGGCAGACUAGAGUGCGGUAGGGGAGACUGGAAUUCCUGGUGUAGCGGUGAAAUGCGCAGAUAUCAGGAGGAACACCGGUGGCGAAGGCGGGUCACUGGCCCGGUACUGACGCUGAGGUGCGAAAGCGUGGGGAGCAAACAGG